rnacentral:sRNA from 1 species
CGCCUUUUUGCUAUGCGCAGAAUAUAACGAUUCGAACCUACGGCAGGUUCGGGUCGAACGCAGUGAGACAACGGAGCCGCUUGCGGCGACGGCCCGAAGGGCGAGCGAAGCGAGUCAUCCUGCACGACCCACCA